rnacentral:rRNA from 1 species
AAGCUCGUAGUUGAAUUUCGGGAUCAAAUUGUCGGUCGUGCCUCGGUACGUACUGGCGUUAUUGGUUCCUCCCUUCUGAAGAACCACGAUGUCAUUAAUUUGGUGUCGCGGGGAAUCAGGACUGUUACUUUGAAAAAAUUAGUGUUUGAAGCAGGCUCGCGCUUGAAUACAUUAGCAUGGAAUAAUGAAAUAGGACGUUUGAUUCUAUUUUGUUGGUUUCUAGGAUCGACGUAAUGAUUAAUAGGGAUAGUUGGGGGCAUUAGUAUUCAAUUGUCAGAGGUGAAAUUCUUGGAUUUAUUGAAGACUAACUACUGCGAAAGCAUUUGCCAAGGAUGUUUUCAUUAAUCAAGAACGAAAGUUAGGGGAUCGAAGACGAUCAGAUACCGUCGUAGUCUUAACCAUAAACUAUGCCGACUAGGGAUCGGAUGAUGUUAAUUUUUUAAUGACUCAUUCGGCGCCUUACGGGAAACCAAAGUGUUUGGGUUCCGGGGGGAGUAUGGUCACAAGGCUGAAACUUAAAGGAAUUGACGGAAGGGCACCACCAGGGGUGGAGCCUGCGGCUUAAUUUGACUCAACACGGGGAAACUCACCAGGUCCAGACAUAGUAAGGAUUGACAGAUUGAGAGCUCUUUCUUGAUUCUAUGGGUG